AACGAACGCUGGCGGCAUGCCUAACACAUGCAAGUCGAACGAGACCUUCGGGUCUAGUGGCGCACGGGUGCGUAACGCGUGGGAACCUGCCCUUAGGUUCGGAAUAACUCCCCGAAAGGGGUGCUAAUACCGGAUAAUGUCUUCGGACCAAAGAUUUAUCGCCUUUGGAUGGGCCCGCGUUGGAUUAGCUAGUUGGUAGGGUAAAAGCCUACCAAGGCGACGAUCCAUAGCUGGUCUGAGAGGAUGAUCAGCCACACUGGGACUGAGACACGGCCCAGACUCCUACGGGAGGCAGCAGUGGGGAAUAUUGGACAAUGGGCGAGAGCCUGAUCCAGCAAUGCCGUGUGAGUGAUGAAGGCCUUAGGGUUGUAAAGCUCUUUUACCCGGGAUGAUAAUGACAGUACCGGGAGAAUAAGCUCCGGCUAACUCCGUG
rnacentral:rRNA from 1 species